rnacentral:rRNA from 1 species
AGACCGAUAGCGAACAAGUACCGUGAGGGAAAGAUGAAAAGAACUUUGAAAAGAGAGUUAAACAGUAUGUGAAAUUGUUAAAAGGGAACCGUUUGGAGCCAGACUGGCUUGAUCGUAAUCAAUCUAAGCUUCGGCUUGGAUGCACUUGCGGUCUUUGCCUGCCAAUGACAGUUUUUUUCGGGGGAAAAAACUAGGAGAAAUGUAGCCUCUCGGGGUGUUAUAGUCUCUUAGAAAAUACCCUGAAUUGGACUGAGGAACGCAGUGAAUGCUCUUCGGGGCAAGAUUGCUGAGUGCUUUCGUUGAAGGAUGUUAGAAUUUCUGCCUUGGGUGGUGCUAAUGUUGUUUGAGGCGAAACUCGCUUGGUAUAUUUUUUAUUCGCUUAGGUUGUUGGCUUAAUGACUCUAAAUGACCCGUCUUGAAACACGGACCAAG